AUCUGCGUGUCACUACACUCAUGUUGCACAGCUCAAUAGCCUAUCUGUGUGAAAAUAAGUUUCUUACACUUAAAAGGACAAGAGCCACUCGCCGGUGGGGAUGCAGUCAAACCGAGAUUACUUGGCAAAGUUAGCCACAAAAAGGGAUGCAAAGGCUCUCCUGUAUAAGGUAAAGCUACCCAUUUACCUAGGACCACUUCAACAGCAUCGGCCAUUGCCCAUUCGUGUUCGUAUGGUGACGCGCGUUAACGUAGAAAAAAUACGCUCACGUCGCCAGGAAGACGUGACACUUUGCAUACCAUUAUACACGCCAAAGAGAAGACGGCCAACUACAAGUGCGCUUGAUUACUUGGACAGCAUAACUUGAUAAAGAAAUACUUUUAAAAAGGCUUUGCGCAACGAGAGUUGCGCUUGCGACCGCUGGCUAUGUCGAAAAGGUAACACCAAAAUGGUAGCGGAACGUAGUGAAACUGUAGCAAUAUCAAUAGGUUUACCUAGACCACAAAAGAGCACACAUGCUCAUAUGCAACAUAUAGCCCAGUAGACUUCAUUAACUAACCGAAUACUCCAAUUGUAUUGUAAUCUCAAUCAUGGUGUACGAUAAUUAGAUACGUCAUGCUUAGGAGGGUCGACUUUAGCACGUGCAGUUAAAUCUAUUUAUAAGACUAGGUGCAAGUUAAAACUCUCCGUCCUUAAUCAGGCUUAGGAUAAGAUGGCAAAAGUUCUGCUAGAUCAACCGUUGUAGUGGGGCGUUGUUAUCUUGAUAGUGAAUAGACCAAGUAACACUAAUUGUGGUUUUCCUCAAAAAACUAUUUUCCGCUUCGACACUUCCGGGGAUCACUAAUAAGUUCGCUGAUAUAUACUAUAGCGGAAGACUCCACAUUAACAUAAGUCAUGGACGGCAGUUGCAAGACGAUGCUACUAAAUUCCAGGUUCGAUAUCGUAUGGAUAGAUGCUAUAUGUCAGCCGUCGUAGCUGGGUGGAAGCCAAGAAACAACAUUUAGCCGCGGUUAGUAUGCGAGCCUUCAACCCGUGGCAUGAAAGCCACUUUGGGACUUUAACGUGAAAAGCAUGACCAGCUUUUAUAACAGCCGGACAAGGUUUCAAGGAUACCAGUAUUUCUGAGCUUAGAUGGACGCGGCUAUUUACCCAAAAAGCGUGACCUCGACAUCAAAAUCACAUAAUUUCAGACGGCUAGCGCUCAGCACCAAACAAAGUAUGUCUACGCCCGGAAUCGAAACCUAGAUCACCACUUGUCCUGAAGUUUAUCAUGCGAACACGUGCGUUGUCACGGAGACGUCACGGAGACAUCUCACAGGAUAGAACAAGACAAGUAGAUUCAUAGAUAGAACGAAAUCGAAAUUAAGGUUCAAAAUCAGAUGAUUUGGUCAAGUUGAUUUGUGAAAAGAGUAUCGGCAAAAUAGGCUUUCAGAAGCACGCGUGACAAAUUUUAGUGCAUAGCUUCUUGUCAGCUUGCCUAGACCUUUGUUAUCCGGAUUAUACAAAUUAAUGAUAGACCAGUACUUUAGUACAUAUUAUGAGUUUUAUAAAAUUAUAACUAGUAAUCCGUAUAUCGGUAGUCGUAAUGGCUUAUACUACCAUAGCCAAAAGACCAAUGUAACCAUUUUGAAGAAAUCCACUUAGCAGAAUCCUGGCCGGGGAAACUGUACUUGGCUUAUUUAUUCCUAACUCUUCUGAGUUCUCUCUAGAACUCACAGAAAUAGCGUUAUAGCAAGGUCAUGCCAUUAAAGGCGAAUCGAAACAUCCCGGAUUAAAUUGAUAGAUUUUUUGAAAUUUUGACGAACGACGUUCUCAUGGGAUGGCUGCCACAACCACAAUUGCGACCGAACAUUCGCAGUACUGAUACAAUAGCUUUCGACUUUUAAACAGGAGUUAAAUAAUUACGAAUCACUAGUCUGUGGUUUCAGUAUCAAUACGAAGCUUUUUAAGUAUUACUACUAUUACUUUUCACGCGUCUGUUUCGUUCUUUUUUUCGUUUGUUUUACAGUCUUGUUACUCCUACUUGACGAUAGUCUAAUUCACUGCUUUCAUCAUGGUCAUCGUUGCCGACAGCCAGGCUGGCCCCAGCGAUCAGAUUGAGUUCGCGCGACUGACGCCAAUAUUCGUCGCCGACGCACCGACAUCCUGACAAGCCGACAACCUGGCGAACCGACCGCAGUUUCACCGUUGCAUCGUCGUCGACGUCAUCAUCGGCGGAUUCUCUAUGUUCAAUCUCCAACUAGCUUUAUAAACUGUACAGACCAUCCCCUAUGAUUGUGCUAUUCUGCGCGAUGCUAGGACAAUGGCGGCUGUUUCAUCGACGAUCGCUGCCCCAAUAUUGGCCAUUCUAUACUGCUAAUCAACUUUUUCUUGUCUCUCAACCUCAGCACUCGUGCGGCCUCCUCGCCUUCUCCGUGGUCGGUCUGCGCUCUUCUGCGGUAGCGUUCCGUGUUUGUACGGCAACGAUGCCGCUACCGUCCCGCUGUCGGCGCCGCGUCUCAAUGUGGUCUGGCGUACAGUAGAAGAGUCAGUCGGGCGGUUGUUCAUUCGCUCGUUAGUUCGUUGCUUGGCAGGCAGACGGUGGCGAACCUGUUACAACGGCAAAACGACUCGUGUUGCUGCCUUCGUUUGCUAGCCCCUUCACUUGUUAUAGCCUGGCUAAAACCUUGCGGUUAGUAUCUCAUUUAGCCAGCUUCUUUUAUCCUUACGUUCGAACGACGACUCGAGUGGCUGCUCCAGCCACACUCUCCGCCGUGACCAGUCUGCGCGGCCGCCGCCGCCGCCAGCGGUUCGUCGUACUGAGGCAAGCAAACGUAUCAGCUAAAUAGUAUCUUUCGUCACACUGCACUGUGGCAGUGGCAAGCAGCGACGACGGUUUGCCACAAGCGGCAAACGACAAUCCCACGUGCUAGCAACACAACCCAAAUACUCGCCACUUAGAAUCACUAGAUGAGCAUCGUGGCGCCAUUGGUAGGCAAACUAGAACGUCUCAGAGACCUGCCUUUUGCACGGCGUACCGCAUACGACAUCAGCACUUUCCGGAAAUAGUGACAGUAAUAUAGGGGCCCGGCAAGUCUGAGAAAUUCGCGCACAAUGUGACACCAACUGCGGUAGAGAAUGCGCCGUAUGUACACAGACGCGAUUGCGGAUACGUUCGCUAAACUGCACAUUGAACAUGAACGAAUACAUUCAUUAGUAGAACAACAUCAACAACUGAGCAUCUAUAAAAAGUAGAGGGCAACGUACUAAACGCGCAGCCGGCCGAUCGAGCGUCGUUCGAACUCGUUAUCGUCCGAAAAAAACUGGACGGAACAGAUACAUCCACACUUAAACAAUCAGGCACUUACAAAGACACAAUGCACCAAAAAAAAACAAUGGAAGCAAUAGCGAAACUGCGCUACUUAACUUCACACAUAGCUCUACUAUCCACAGCUGGCGUUCUUCGCGAAGCUGGCAGGUCGACGUAAGACGAUUCCGAGGCCGAUUAUUACGUUCAUAGAGAGUAUUUUGAUUCAUCAAUUGGCAGGAGUGUAUCGACAUAGCCGAUAAGAAGUUAUUUGCAAAUGUUGUAGUAUACACGAAUCUACAGAAAUGUGAGAAUGCACACAGAGUCCAUGUUACGGAAUCGAAUCAUUAAUGCUAAAAGGUCAGGCUUGGCACUAACAGAUCGGCGACCAUUGGGUACAAGUUAGGUCGCGCGAAACCCAACGGCCACUGUUUCCAUCACAUCCAAUCAGUCCUUGUUUGACGUUUUUCUCAAUUUUUCCUCCACCUUUAUGUGGUUUUGUCAAAUGGGUAAGCUAGAGCGACGAACCCGCAGUGUCGUGACGAUACAUAUGUAUAUAUAUAUACACGAUUUUUUUCGAGAUAUAUACAAAUGACGCUUGUUCAGACGCAAAACCAACUACUAGAUUGCCCUACCAUCAUACUGUCAGUCAAUCAGCAGUUAUGCAGUAACAGCUGAUCUAUCGCCGACGGACACAGGCAUCGCUAGAGCAUAUUCAGUUAGCGCGUGUCUUCUCCACUUGAGGAGAUGAAUUGAACCAGCUUCGAUGUAAAACUUGAUUUCGUCGGAGAUACCCAUUAAGUGAUUACUCACAGCAUCACGUCAAUUUUUCGACACGGAGCCAUGUAAUUGGCUACUAGUUUGUACGUUGCCCUCAACAGCCUUGCCGCUUGGAGUCCACAGAGCGCAGCUCAGGCUGGUAACUCACUCUCUCUCUCUCACUUUAUAGUUGCGUACUGAUCUGUGUAUGUGCGUCAGUGUGCCUCACAGUAGGAAAAGAACGAUGGGGCUCACUGCGGGACCGAGGCUGGCCGAGUGAGCGAAAAUUCAUCAGGGUCGGAAUGAGUCAGUCAGACCCAGAGAGAACUCUGAGCCUCCUCAGCCCAAGCUGAUAACCCAUUUAGCAACGGAGCGGACUAUUCAGUGUAAAGUCUAAUAAA